rnacentral:rRNA from 1 species
GCCCUUAGAUGUUCUGGGCCGCACGCGCGCUACACUGAAGGAAUCAGCGUGUCGUUUUCCCUGGCCGAAAGGCCCGGGUAACCCGCUGAACCUCCUUCGUGCUUGGGAUCGGGGCUUGCAAUUGCUCCCCGUGAACGAGGAAUUCCCAGUAAGCGCGAGUCAUAAGCUCGCGUUGAUUACGUCCCUGCCCUUUGUACACACCGCCCGUCGCUACUACCGAUUGAACGAUUUAGUGAGGUCUUCGGACCGGGGCGUGGAGCUCCGCUCGCGGUGCGACGCUGCCUCCGGAAAGAUGACCGAACUUGAUCGUUUAGAGGAAGUAAAAGUCGUAACAAGGUUUCCGUAG